rnacentral:rRNA from 1 species
UAGNAUAUACNAAGCGAAACUGCGAAUGGCUCAUUAUAUAAGUUAUCGUUUAUUUGAUAGUACCUUACUACAUGGAUAACCGUGGUAAUUCUAGAGCUAAUACAUGCUGAAAAUCCCGACUUCGGAAGGGAUGUAUUUAUUAGAUUCAAAACCAAUGCCCUUCGGGGCUCCAAUGGUGAUUCAUGAUAACUUCUCGAAUCGCACGGCCCCGCGCCGGCGAUGGUUCAUUCAAAUUUCUUCCCUAUCAACUUUCGAUGCUACGGUAGUGUCCUAGCAUGGUUGCAACGGGUAACGGGGAAUUAGAAUGAACCAUCGCCGGNGCGGGGUCGUGCGANUCGAGAAGUUUUAUUGAUUCNAUNGGAGNCCCGANGGGUGGG